CCUACGGGUGGCAGCAGUGAGGAAUAUUGGUCAACGGACGAGAGUCUGAACCAGCCAAGUAGCGUGAAGGAUGACUGCCCUAUGGGUUGUAAACUUCUUUUAUAUGGGAAUAAAACGUUCCACGUGUGGGAUUUUGUAUGUACCCUAUGAAUAAGGAUCGGCUAACUCCGUGCCAGCAGCCGCGGUAAUACGGAGGAUCCGAGCGUUAUCCGGAUUUAUUGGGUUUAAAGGGAGCGUAGGUUGAUUGUUAAGUCAGUUGUGAAAGUUUGCGGCUCAACCGUAAAAUUGCAGUUGAAACUGGCAGUCUUGAGUACAGUAGAGGUGGGCGGAAUUCGUGGUGUAGCGGUGAAAUGCUUAGAUAUCACGAAGAACUCCGAUUGCGAAGGCAGUUCACUGGACUGCAACUGACACUGAGGCUCGAAAGUGUGGGUAUCAAACAGGAUUAGAUACCCCUGUAGUC
rnacentral:rRNA from 1 species